AUCACAACGUCAACACAUCAAACCGUAAUUCAACAAUAUUUGCAUGCAUCUACAUGAUUAAAAUAUUGCAAACAUAAAAAUAUAAAAACCACAUAUCAAAAAAAAUAUGAAGACAGCUGCUCGUUCUCUAAAAAUAUCAAACAUUUCAACAACAUUAUAUACAAAAAAUGAUUACAGGAAGUAGAGUAGUUCCUUCCUACAACGCUCUAUUUGUGUUAUAGAUCACAUAUUCCUUUUAGCUUAAAUAACUACAUCAGAAAAACAUAUAUAAUAAAGAUUAAAAAGUCAUAUUUCAAGUUCAAGCUCCAAUAAUCAGAAGAAAAAACCAAGCCACUUGUUAGUACAUGCAUGAGAGAGAGAGAGAGAAACCAUUUUCAGAUCUGAAUUUUAGUCACCUCCUUCCUAACAAACUAAAACAUGUCGAUGGUGUUUGUUGGUUGUUACAACAAUGGUGGUGCAAGAACUAUGGCUGAUGUUCAAGAUUUAAAUGUAGCUGUAUUUUUCGGAAGUGAAUGUGUAAAUAGGCGAGAUUUUCUUAGCAAAGAAGGAGAGGGAGGGACUUCAGAGGUGCGGUGAUAGCUGAUGGAAGUGCCGAGAUGGUGGAUGAAGACAUUAUCGGUGGUGAUGGGAGAUUUAGGGGUUUUAGAGAGAUGGUGCGAGUUGGAUGAAGGCGUCGUUCUUGGCAAUGGGUUAGAGUUGAAGGGAAUAGACCGAGAUAAGGGGGAAGAAAAAUAGGAGGCUGGUGAAAUUUGAAAUGGGUCUAGGGUUUUC
rnacentral:lncRNA from 1 species